CUGAAGUGAUUUGGGGAUGUUGCUGGCCUUCUUGUUAUGGGGAGGCAACGUGCACUCUCCAGAACCAUUCACGAUUUCCAUCACACCCUUGUGCACAUCCUGUAGGCGCUCCUCUGACUUUGUGUCGGAGGAAGGUGUCCUAUGUACACUGCUAUACAACAAUGUUUUGAUGAAUGCAUCUUGUGGAUUUAUCUGUAACGGUGUAAUCGUAGAAA
rnacentral:misc_RNA from 1 species